GGUUAAUUUUCGAAGAACUAACUAAAAAGUGUCAUAGACUUGUUUUCUUGCUGUUGUGCAUUUGACCGGGUGUUUUUUUUUCGAUUUUUAUUGAGUUUUUCGGUCGGUGAUUAACUUUAACAUGAAGUCAUCGGAAAGUAAACGAAUUUUCCAUUCUACUGGAGAAAUCGCGGUGACAAAAGCGGUGAACAUUACAUUAGGGGCUAUUUUGGACUACAUAGGAGAUUCCAUUAGGCCGCUUCGAGGAGGACAAUCUGUUCUUUGAAUCAGGUCAUGUUGUGUGCAUCGGUUAUACAAAUGAAAGUGAUUCCAUGAUUGAUAUUUGUGGAUUUGUGCUCCAAAGUUCCCACCCAGGAGACGUUCCUCAUGAAGUUAAACUGCAUAUUGGCUACGAUUUUCGUCUUCAUCUCGCUAACACUGGCUUUGUAGAAUAUUUAACAUGUACCAGCUCUCGCCAAGCAUGGGGAAUUAGUAAAAGCGAGAAAACUGAUUUAUGGGAAGCCAAAGUUGUCAAGAAUCUUUGCUGUGCCAGGAAGCAUUCACAACUUGCGGUGAUUGAUCUUGGCAACAUGAGGGAAUUGCUUAAACAAGGCUUUGAUCGUAUUAUGGAUGCUUCACCCGAUUCCGCUGUCAAGAAACACAUCACCGGAAGAGAGCAAACAUGUCAUAGAUUUCCAGUAGGACCACUGCAAACAAAUAAUUUGGACAAGUUUCUGACAAACUAUGAGCUUCGUGAUUUAAUUCAAAUUUGG